rnacentral:tRNA from 1 species
CAGCUUAGUAUUAGAUAUAAAUAUACCUAUCCAAUCUUAGUAUUAGUAAUAAAUGACAGUGACAGAAAUGAAGUUUGAAUCUCC